rnacentral:tRNA from 1 species
CAUUGUGAAGCUAAUAAUAGCAUUAACCUUUUAAGUUAAAGACUGGAGCCCAAUACUCCCACAAUGA